GAAAGAACUUAUUUUAGAAACUCUUCCGAAUUAUUAAAGUAUUUCCACUGAUAAAAAGAUUAGGAUACUUUUUGUCUUUGGUUGGACAUAAAGGUCAGUAGCAUGUAAUAGUAGUUCAGGUUGUUGGGUGGGGCACAUGGAAUAUCUCUGGUGAUAGUUACUUGGAGUUAAAAGUUGAAAUUAUUUGCAUUUUAUGAGGUCACAUUAUCUUU
rnacentral:misc_RNA from 1 species